GGCUUCGUAGCUCAGCUGGUAGAGCGCUUGAGGCAUGCUGUGUCUGUCGCUGGUUCGAAUCCAGCUGAAGCCC
rnacentral:tRNA from 1 species